UACGGAGGGUGCAAGCGUUAUCCGGAUUCACUGGGCUUAAAGGGAGCGUAGGUGGGCAUGUAAGUCAGUGGUGAAAUCUCCGUGCUUAACCCGGAAACUGCCAUUGAUACUAUGUUUCUUGAAUUUUCUGGAGGUUAGCGGAAUAUGUCAUGUAGCGGUGAAAUGCUUAGAUAUGACAUAGAACACCAAUUGCGAAGGCAGCUAACUACAGGGAUAUUGACACUGAGGCUCGAAAGCGUGGGGAUCAAACAGG
rnacentral:rRNA from 1 species